GUGGUACCUGCACUACCCUGCCCUUGAAACUGUUUGGCUUCUUACGUUCUGACCAUCUCCAAACCCACAAUAUUUGAAAACGCAGCUUUCCCUCAUGUCUGGCAUUUUUCCAUGAACUGCCAUUGUAUCUCCUUUUAUUUUUUACUAUUUUGUUUAAACCCCUCAAACCUUUCAUCAUAAUAUGCUUCCAGUGGGUUUCGGCAGCUACUCUGAGAGCCUGAGUAUAAAUCAACACCAUUGUGAUUCCUGAAGUUGCAAAGUGCUGUCACUCUUGAAACUUUGGGCUGCUUCUCUAGAUCCCUGACAACAUAUAAUGUACACAGAGACACACCACUUUCGAAGAAGACUGUUCAGGAGGCUAAGUUCUUAAAAUCUUCAAAAGAGGUAUAGCUGGUUGGCUGGGCACCACACUGUCAGGUGACUGUCAUUUUUUCCUUUUGGUCUGAAUUCCCAUUGUGAUAUCAUCAGAGGUUCCACACUUCACAAGGAAAGCUUCUUAUGACCUCAUCAGGAGGCUGAAACCUUGCCAGACUGCCUGCUUUCAUGGAUAGACAUAAUAACCUUCAGCUUGAAUGUUAACACCUUGAUGGGAAAGGUGUCUCAUGGAAUGUUUUCUUAUCCUUUGAACACUCUUCAUUUCAGAAGCUUUGCUUCUGUUGCAACCAAACAUGACACUUAGCGUGCUGAGCAGGAAGGACAAGGAAAGAGUAAUUCGCAGACUGUUAUUACAGGCCCCUCCAGGGGAAUUUGUAAAUGCCUUUGAUGAUCUCUGUCUGCUUAUCCGUGAUGAAAAACUUAUGCACCAUCAAGGUGAGUGUGCAGGCCACCAACACUGCCAAAAAUAUUCUGUACCACUCUGCAUCGACGGAAAUCCAGUACUCUUGUCUCACCACAAUGUAAUGGGCGACUACCGAUUUUUUGACCAUCAAAGCAAACUUUCUUUCAGAUAUGACCUGCUUCAAAAUCAGCUGAAAGACAUCCAAAGUCAUGGUAUCAUUCGGAAUGAGACAGAAUACCUGAGAGUUGUUGUUCUGUGCGCCUUAAAACUGUAUGUGAAUGACCACUAUCCAAAAGGAAAUUGCAACGUGCUGAGAAAAACUGUCAAAAGUAAGGAGUACUUGAUAGCUUGCAUUGAAGAUCACAACUAUGAAACAGGAGAGUGCUGGAACGGACUUUGGAAAUCUAAGUGGAUUUUCCAAGUUAACCCAUUUCUAACCCAAGUAACAGGAAGAAUAUUUGUGCAAGCUCACUUCUUCAGGUGUGUCAACCUUCAUAUUGAAAUAUCCAAGGACCUGAAAGAAAGCUUGGAAAUAGUUAACCAAGCUCAACUGGCUCUAAGUUUUGCAAGGCUUGUGGAAGAGCAAGAGAACAAAUUUCAAGCUGCAGUCUUGGAAGAAUUACAGGAGUUAUCCAAUGAAGCCCUGAGAAAAAUUCUACGAAGGGAUCUUCCAGUGACCCGCACUCUUAUUGACUGGCAGAGGAUAGUCUCCGACUUGAAUCUGGUGAUGUAUCCUAAAUUAGGAUAUGUCAUUUAUUCAAGAAGUGUGUUGUGCAACUGGAUAAUAUAAAGAAUUGCUCCUGAAACACAAGCUCCAUGAGAAGGAUGAUCUCGUCAAUCUCAAGUACCUAAUCCAUUAUUGUCUGUCAUAUGAGAUGGGAACUUGCUAUGUUGCCCAGGCUGGUCUUGAACUCCUGGCCUCAAGGGAUCCUCUUGCUCUGGCCUCCCAAGUUGCUAGGAUUACAGGUGUGAGCCACUGCGCUCAGCAUGUUCACCCUAAUUUGAAUAUUAAAUGUGUCUGCAUGUGUCCUGCUCCUGUUAAUAAACUAAAGGAGGAAUUUUUUUUUCA